AAUGCAAAUUGCACUCUCUGGUAUUCCGGAGAGUAUGCCUGUUUGAGGGUCAGUGUAAUAAAAAAAUCGAUGUUGUUGCAUCGGAAUUGAGUCGUCUUACUUCAGUUAAGUGACUUAAAAUUUUUCAUACGAUUCGAACGUAUUUUAAUGUAUUAUAUGUACGUUUACGAAUAUCGGUUUAUUAGGUGCGAUCAUUCUCAUGAUUUGCGUCUAUAAUUUUCUUUUUUUUGACCUCAAAUCAGGUAAGAGUACCCGCUGAACUUAA
rnacentral:misc_RNA from 1 species